rnacentral:rRNA from 1 species
UACGAAGGGGGCUAGCGUUGCUCGGAAUCACUGGGCGUAAAGCGCACGUAGGCGGGUCGCUAAGUCAGGGGUGAAAUCCUGGAGCUUAACUCCAGAACUGCCUUUGAUACUGGCGACCUUGAGUCCGGGAGAGGUGAGUGGAACUGCGAGUGUAGAGGUGAAAUUCGUAGAUAUUCGCAAGAACACCAGUGGCGAAGGCGGCUCACUGGCCCGGUACUGACGCUGAGGUGCGAAAGCGUGGGGAGCAAACAGGG